rnacentral:rRNA from 1 species
AGUCGGACGGUAACAGGAGGGAGCUUGCUCUUCUUUGCUGACGAGUGGCGGACGGGUGAGUAAUGCUUGGGAAUCUGUCUUAGGGAGGGGGAUAACCACGGGAAACUGUGGCUAAUACCGCGUAUAAUCGGAAGAUGAGAGGUGUGGGAUUGAAGAGCCACAUGCCCUAAGGUGAGCCCAAGUGAGGUUAGGUAGUUGGUGGGGUAAGGGCCUACCAAGCCGACGAUCUCUAGCUGGUCUGAGAGGAUGACCAGCCACACUGGGACUGAGACACGGCCCAGACUCCUACGGGAGGCAGCAGUGGGGAAUAUUGCGCAAUGGGGGGAACCCUGACGCAGCCAUGCCGCGUGAAUGAAGAAGGCCUUCGGGUUGUAAAGUUCUUUCAGUGGUGAGGAAGGUAAUAAUGUUAAUAGUAUUAUUAAUUGACGUUAGCCACAGAAGAAGCACCGGCUAAUUCCGUGCCAGCAGCCGCGGUAAUACGGAAGGUGCGAGCGUUAAUCGGAAUAACUGGGCGUAAAGGGCACGCAGGCGGUAACUUAAGUGAGGUGUGAAAGCCCAGGGCUUAACCUUGGAGGUGCAUUUCAUACUGGGUUACUAGAGUACUCUAGGGAGGGGUAGAAUUCCACGUGUAGCGGUGAAAUGCGUAGAGAUGUGGAGGAAUACCGAAGGCGAAGGCAGCCCCUUGGGGAGUAACUGACGCUCAUGUGCGAAAGCGUGGGGAGCA